GGGUUGUGAGGUUAAGCGACUAAGCGUACACGGUGGAUGCCCUGGCAGUCAGAGGCGAUGAAGGACGUGCUAAUCUGCGAUAAGCGUCGGUAAGGUGAUAUGAACCGUUAUAACCGGCGAUUUCCGAAUGGGGAAACCCAGUGUGUUUCGACACACUAUCAUUAACUGAAUCCAUAGGUUAAUGAGGCGAACCGGGGGAACUGAAACAUCUAAGUACCCCGAGGAAAAGAAAUCAACCGAGAUUCCCCCAGUAGCGGCGAGCGAACGGGGAGGAGCCCAGAGCCUGAAUCAGUGUGUGUGUUAGUGGAAGCGUCUGGAAAGGCGCGCGAUACAGGGUGACAGCCCCGUACACAAAAAUGCACAUGCUGUGAGCUCGAUGAGUAGGGCGGGACACGUGGUAUCCUGUCUGAAUAUGGGGGGACCAUCCUCCAAGGCUAAAUACUCCUGACUGACCGAUAGUGAACCAGUACCGUGAGGGAAAGGCGAAAAGAACCCCGGCGAGGGGAGUGAAAAAGAACCUGAAACCGUGUACGUACAAGCAGUGGGAGCCUCUUAAUGGGGUGACUGCGUACCUUUUGUAUAAUGGGUCAGCGACUUAUAUUCUGUAGCAAGGUUAACCGAAUAGGGGAGCCGAAGGGAAACCGAGUCUUAACUGGGCGUUAAGUUGCAGGGUAUAGACCCGAAACCCGGUGAUCUAGCCAUGGGCAGGUUGAAGGUUGGGUAACACUAACUGGAGGACCGAACCGACUAAUGUUGAAAAAUUAGCGGAUGACUUGUGGCUGGGGGUGAAAGGCCAAUCAAACCGGGAGAUAGCUGGUUCUCCCCGAAAGCUAUUUAGGUAGCGCCUCGUGAAUUCAUCUCCGGGGGUAGAGCACUGUUUCGGCAAGGGGGUCAUCCCGACUUACCAACCCGAUGCAAACUGCGAAUACCGGAGAAUGUUAUCACGGGAGACACACGGCGGGUGCUAACGUCCGUCGUGAAGAGGGAAACAACCCAGACCGCCAGCUAAGGUCCCAAAGUCAUGGUUAAGUGGGAAACGAUGUGGGAAGGCCCAGACAGCCAGGAUGUUGGCUUAGAAGCAGCCAUCAUUUAAAGAAAGCGUAAUAGCUCACUGGUCGAGUCGGCCUGCGCGGAAGAUGUAACGGGGCUAAACCAUGCACCGAAGCUGCGGCAGCGACACUAUGUGUUGUUGGGUAGGGGAGCGUUCUGUAAGCCUGUGAAGGUGUACUGUGAGGUAUGCUGGAGGUAUCAGAAGUGCGAAUGCUGACAUAAGUAACGAUAAAGCGGGUGAAAAGCCCGCUCGCCGGAAGACCAAGGGUUCCUGUCCAACGUUAAUCGGGGCAGGGUGAGUCGACCCCUAAGGCGAGGCCGAAAGGCGUAGUCGAUGGGAAACAGGUUAAUAUUCCUGUACUUGGUGUUACUGCGAAGGGGGGACGGAGAAGGCUAUGUUGGCCGGGCGACGGUUGUCCCGGUUUAAGCGUGUAGGCUGGUUUUCCAGGCAAAUCCGGAAAAUCAAGGCUGAGGCGUGAUGACGAGGCACUACGGUGCUGAAGCAACAAAUGCCCUGCUUCCAGGAAAAGCCUCUAAGCAUCAGGUAACAUCAAAUCGUACCCCAAACCGACACAGGUGGUCAGGUAGAGAAUACCAAGGCGCUUGAGAGAACUCGGGUGAAGGAACUAGGCAAAAUGGUGCCGUAACUUCGGGAGAAGGCACGCUGAUAUGUAGGUGAAGUCCCUCGCGGAUGGAGCUGAAAUCAGUCGAAGAUACCAGCUGGCUGCAACUGUUUAUUAAAAACACAGCACUGUGCAAACACGAAAGUGGACGUAUACGGUGUGACGCCUGCCCGGUGCCGGAAGGUUAAUUGAUGGGGUUAGCGGUAACGCGAAGCUCUUGAUCGAAGCCCCGGUAAACGGCGGCCGUAACUAUAACGGUCCUAAGGUAGCGAAAUUCCUUGUCGGGUAAGUUCCGACCUGCACGAAUGGCGUAAUGAUGGCCAGGCUGUCUCCACCCGAGACUCAGUGAAAUUGAACUCGCUGUGAAGAUGCAGUGUACCCGCGGCAAGACGGAAAGACCCCGUGAACCUUUACUAUAGCUUGACACUGAACAUUGAGCCUUGAUGUGUAGGAUAGGUGGGAGGCUUUGAAGUGUGGACGCCAGUCUGCAUGGAGCCGACCUUGAAAUACCACCCUUUAAUGUUUGAUGUUCUAACGUUGGCCCCUUACCGGGGUUGCGGACAGUGUCUGGUGGGUAGUUUGACUGGGGCGGUCUCCUCCUAAAGAGUAACGGAGGAGCACGAAGGUUGGCUAAUCCUGGUCGGACAUCAGGAGGUUAGUGCAAUGGCAUAAGCCAGCUUGACUGCGAGCGUGACGGCGCGAGCAGGUGCGAAAGCAGGUCAUAGUGAUCCGGUGGUUCUGAAUGGAAGGGCCAUCGCUCAACGGAUAAAAGGUACUCCGGGGAUAACAGGCUGAUACCGCCCAAGAGUUCAUAUCGACGGCGGUGUUUGGCACCUCGAUGUCGGCUCAUCACAUCCUGGGGCUGAAGUAGGUCCCAAGGGUAUGGCUGUUCGCCAUUUAAAGUGGUACGCGAGCUGGGUUUAGAACGUCGUGAGACAGUUCGGUCCCUAUCUGCCGUGGGCGCUGGAGAACUGAGGGGGGCUGCUCCUAGUACGAGAGGACCGGAGUGGACGCAUCACUGGUGUUCGGGUUGUCAUGCCAAUGGCACUGCCCGGUAGCUAAAUGCGGAAGAGAUAAGUGCUGAAAGCAUCUAAGCACGAAACUUGCCCCGAGAUGAGUUCUCCCUGACUCUUUAAGGGUCCUGAAGGAACGUUGAAGACGACGACGUUGAUAGGCCGGGUGUGUAAGCGCAGCGAUGCGUUGAGCUAACCGGUACUAAUGAACCGUGAGGCUUAACCUUACAACGCCGAAGGUGUUU
rnacentral:rRNA from 1 species